rnacentral:rRNA from 1 species
AGUCACGAGUUUGAUCCUGGCUCAGAUUGAACGCUGGCGGAAUGCUUACACAUGCAAGUCGAACGGUAGAGGGGGCAACCCCUUGAGAGUGGCGAACGGGUGAGUAAUAUAUCGGAACGUGCCCAGUCGUGGGGGAUAACGUAGCGAAAGUUACGCUAAUACCGCAUACGAUCUAAGGAUGAAAGCGGGGGACUCGCAAGAGCCUCGCGCGAUUGGAGCGGCCGAUAUCAGAUUAGGUAGUUGGUGGGGUAAAGGCUCACCAAGCCAACGAUCUGUAGCUGGUCUGAGAGGACGACCAGCCACACUGGAACUGAGACACGGUCCAGACUCCUACGGGAGGCAGCAGUGGGGAAUUUUGGACAAUGGACGCAAGUCUGAUCCAGCCAUUCCGCGUGCAGGAUGAAGGCCCUCGGGUUGUAAACUGCUUUUGUACGGAACGAAAAGGUUUCUAUUAAUACUAGGAGCUCAUGACGGUACCGUAAGAAUAAGCACCGGCUAACUACGUG